rnacentral:rRNA from 1 species
CUCAGUUCGGAUUGUAGGCUGCAACUCGCCUACAUGAAGUUGGAAUCGCUAGUAAUCGCGAAUCAGAAUGUCGCGGUGAAUACGUUCCCGGGUCUUGUACACACCGCCCGUCACACCACGAGAGUUUACAACACCCGAAGUCAGUGGCCUAACCGCAAGGAGGGAGCUGCCUAAGGUGGGGUAGAUGAUUGGGGUGAAGUCGUAACAAGGUAGC